CCCGACGGUUAGGGCCGCGGCACCCGCGUCCUCCCCUCCCACAUCGACCCGAGGCAGAUGCUGCCGGGGCCCUUCCACCUGGGAGCCCGCCUUCCGGGGUGCUGUGCAGAAGGUCUCCGAUUUAAACCAAAGCGGGGGUCACCGGGCAGAGCUCUCACCCCCGACGGCACUAAGCAGCUGGUUCUUACUGAGCCCGGGUCCACCUUUUCCGGAGCAAGGUGUGCUUUUACAUCAGGAAAAGGGGGCCAGGUGGUGUUUCUGCUUUGGCCACGGUUUCACAGAUUGUCCCCCCCCCCCCCCCCAUUGCUCCCUCAUCCCCAGCACUGAUAGUGCUCCUGCUCCCCUGUGUUCAGAGGCAGUAACUAAUGGGUUCCUAUCUGACCUACCUGGCCAUCGAUGCCACAGGUGUCUGAGUGCCAAGGACCUAUAAGGCAAACAGUGCAAGGAGCAGCCCCCUCUGGUGACACUGCACAGGGGGCAUGUCAUGUAACGCCCCGCCCCAGUGUUAAGCAUGGGCUGGGAAAGCGAAGUAGAGCGUUUUUCGGUAACCGGCCCUAAGGGACAGGGCUGGGAUUUGAAGCCUAGUCUGUUACUGCUAAGGGCUUUCCACGGGAAGCCGUGAUCUCCGCUGGGCUGGUGGCACCCUCACUUACUCCACGGGACAGUUGUGCCCCGCGUCACAGAACAGGGGUAAGUGAGUGGCUGCAGGUUAGCUGUCGAGUCAGAACUGGGAUCCAGGGCUGCUUGCUCCCAGUUCAUAUAUCCAGUUUCACUGCCUCCGAAAAGUUCCUGUGAAAACAACGUCCGCGGCACCUGAGACCCGUCUUUAAGCACCUGUCCCUCCCCGUGCCCCCAGCGCAACAAAAUAAUAAUUUGUGUUAGUAAAUCUUGUUUUAAUGACAAUUGUCUCCUACUGAAGCAUGUGAAAUUAAAAUCCAAGUCACUGACUGAUGAGAAGUAGGUCUAGUAAGAGUGAAAUGAGAUAGUUUUAAAGUCUUACCAGGUCUUUUCUGUGAAGGUAAUGAAAAAAAAAAAAAAAAGCUGAAGCAUUUCCCCUCAACCCCAUAUCGUGUGCCGAUGUGCAGCUCAGCAAGAAUGCGAAGGGAAGCGGCAGGACUGCUGAAGACUUCCACGGUCACUGCAGAGCCGAGAAGGAAGGCGGAGGAGAAGGACAGGCUGAAAUCUUUUUUUUGUGUGUGACUUUCCCACCAGAUGUGUUUUCCGUUCAUUAGUUUAUCAAAUCCAAGGGAAUAUUUGUUCAUUUGUUUCUGGUCUUUCGCUCACCAUGUUGUGUAAUGUGUGUCUCACUGAAGUUAGACCAGUUUUUCCACUCUCUGCUGCUACCCUUAUGGUUUGCACAACUCGGAGGGAGACGUGUUGUGUAAUGUGUCAAGCACUCAAAAAGGAGAAAAGACGUAAAGGGGGAAAGAUGAGUGUCACCCGACGUGUCUAGAUUCCAAGGGACAUGGCCUUCAUUUGGAGAAAUCGUUUGCUUUCCUUCUGAGCCUUUUCAAACCACUGCUUUCAGAGCCCCUGGAAGAGGCCUGGUUUCUCCUGGAAUGAUCACUGAAGUCAGCCUACAUGAGUUAGUUAAACCUUGGCCGGCUCGCAGUUGUGUCCUGGAGUGGGGAGCCAGGAAGACAGAACAGGUUCCUGGUCAGCCAAGGUAGGCUGGGGGGCAUCCCCCCACAGCGUUACAGGCUGUCACCGAGCCCUCCGACACCCCCCUUCUUCCUCCGGCAGGCGUCUUCUCCCGCCUUGGCACUGCUUAUUGAUUUCCACCACGGGAACGGCCACGCGCUGUGUGAUCUUAGACACGCCGCCCAGCUCCUGAGCUGCAGACACUUCUCCUGCGAUAUGGAGGGGAGCAGACUCAUUGCCCGAAUCUUCUAACAGUGUAUGAUUGAUUUCAAUGCUGAUGGAACUGUGCAGUACAUGAGGGAAGCAUCGAGACUUCUGGGAGAGACACAAACGUAUAUGCGAAGAAAGGAGUUUUUCAUCGAAGUAUAAUCUACAAAGAAAAGUGUGCAAAUCUCAACCAAACAGCUUGGAUUGGGACGCCUGGGUGGCUCAGCAGUUGCGCAUCUGCCUUAGGCUCAAGGUGUGAUCCCGGGGUCAGACUCCCUGCAAGGAGCCUGCUUCUUCUCCCUCUGCCUGUGUCUCUGCCUCUUUCU